AAAAAAGCCAUGAUGUGCAUGAAGAGUGUUCUGCACGUGUCUGAUGUGCACUAAGAGUGUUCUGCACGUGUCUGAUGUGCACUAAGAGUAGUGUUCUGCACGUGUCAAAGGGCUGAUGUGCACUAAAGUGAGUGUUCUGCACACUAUGGAGAGUGUUCUGCACGCGUCAAAGGGCUGGCACCACUGGUCUGAGGUAGGGCGACUGAUGAAUGUGUUCAAACACACAGUACAGUCAACAAAUGCACACACGCACUUACACCCUUAACAAAAGACAAAUGCAACAACAGGCCUCAAGAGGGCAGAGUGGGGGCAGGAACAAGGCUAAAAACAGGAUUCAGAAUCAGAUAUGUUGAAGCUGGUCAAGAGGAGAGAGCCCAUACCUCGGUCUCAACACUAAUGAGCCAGCCCAAAUCCAGCCACAAGUCACCAGAAAGUCAAACGUGAGGCUGGGACAGAAAGGCAGUGGACUCUGCACCAGACAGACAGCUGCAUUUUAGGAUAAGGCACUAUGAUAAAGCCGAGGUACAUGUAAUCCCUGACAUUCGUUUUGCUCUGCAACAUGGCACUAUGGGACAGGAAACAGCUCUCCUUCCUGGAUGGGUUUUUGGUCCUUAAAAAACUUCACAAGUAACAGAAACAUGCCCAGUACACACUACAGAGCAUUGAAAAAAACAAAAGGCAAGCGUUAUGCACCAAGUGCAUAAAAAAGCUAGCAUAGAAAAAGUCUGUCCAAUCCCACUCCUAUGUACACUUAAAAAAGCAGCACACACUGAGGCUCUUACUCUCGCUAAAAGCUAUCGACGACAACCAAUCAAACGGCCCCUUCAGUAUUUUUUACCCACCCAGUUCUUAAAUUUGUUUGUUGGCUACAUGCAAUACUCAUGUUAUUCAGCCAACAGUUGCAUGUUGGUAUGCUCGUUAUGAAAGCUUCCAAAAUGAAAAUGGACUGCAAAAAAGGACAGUAAUAGCACCAUGAUUUGGGGUAAUACCAAUCUCAAAUACAGAAAAAGCAGAUGAAACGUGACUGAGUGAAUGACUUUACUUCCCUGGGACCAGUGACAUGGAUUUGAGCUCAGAAUUUAGGGGUGAAACUUUUCUUUUCCUCCAAGUCCUUCCCAAGGGCUGACACACUAUCAGAGCACAGGACUGAGAGACAACACCACAUCCAGAGACAGUUGGACAUGGACAAUGCGGCGGUCAGCAGUCCUCACGAGACUAGGCUGACCUGAAACAGUGUUCCCCCACAAGAGCAGACAGACCGAGCAUGAAGACACACAAACACAGAUACAGAAGAGAUAUGUGAUUAGUGAGAGCAUAAAGGGUCGGCCCCUGUUCAAACGGAAGCGUAGGUGUUGCCCGUGGCGCUGCAGUGGCGGAUGGUGGGUGUCGCAGAUGACGGGGUUAGGAUGUGUUCGCUGUGGUCAGGGGGAGGCUGGGGCAGCGAGUGCAGGACGCCGGGCUGGACCACCCCCACCACAGGGUGAGAGCCGUCCUCCAGGGCUCCCACCUGGAUCACCUGGAUCACCUCGUGCUCAGACCUCUCCCGCUUUGCUAAAGGUUCCCCACAAGUGUCUGUGUCGUCCUCCAAGUCACUGUCCA
ensembl:lncRNA